UACGAACCGAGCGAACGUUGUUCGGAAUAACUGGGCUUAAAGGGCGCGUAGGCGGGCCGCCAAGUUCGAGGUGAAAUCCUCCGGCUCAACCGGAGAACUGCCUCGAAUACUGGAGGCCUCGAGGCGGGUAGGGGCACGCGGAACUGUGGGUGGAGCGGUGAAAUGCGUUGAUAUCCACAGGAACUCCGGUGGCGAAGGCGGCGUGCUGGACCCGAUCUGACGCUGAGGCGCGAAAGCCAGGGGAGCAAACGGG
rnacentral:rRNA from 1 species